CUGUUUAUUUUAUCAUUAUUUAAAGACUAAUUAUCUCUUAAUUACUUUGUGUUCUGAUGAAAUUAUUCGUAUCCUUCUUUUAGAAAUGGUGACAAGCGAUGUUCAGUCAUGUAAUUUUGUUAUUAUUUAUCCCCUUCUGCCGUCAUUCUUGGUUUUUUGCCUUGUUACAAUCCUUCCUAUUUUCAAAUUGUUCUAGGAAAUGGUCCAUCCUUUUCCAUGUAUGAUGGAAUCAUCAACAUAAUAGUAAUGGGUGAUU
rnacentral:lncRNA from 1 species